AGUCCCGAGGUGUAUUACAUACAUGGUUGCAAACCACGAGUAGCAGGUUACCGUCUGCCGGGACUU
rnacentral:tRNA from 1 species